ACCGAGACUAGAGUCACGCUUAGAUGCCAUCAGUCAUCAUGGUGUGCUACAGUCCUCGAAGAGAAAUAACUAACCUUUAUUCACUAAUGGUGUUGCUCAGUAGCACAGUCAGUCACCAGGUUAGUUACAUUC
ensembl:snoRNA